rnacentral:rRNA from 1 species
UUGGAGGGCAGUCUGGUGCCAGCAGCCGCGGUAAUUCCAGCUCCAAUAGCGUAUAUUAAAGUUGUUGCAGUUAAAAAGCUCGUAGUUGAACUUCGGGGUCUACCCAUUGGUCAGGCUUAAUUGUCUGCACUGGUGAGAUGGAUCUCUACCUUCUGAGGAACUUUCAUGCCAUUUAUUUGGUGUGAUGGGAAAUCAGGACUGUUACUUUGAAAAAAUUAGAGUGUUUAAAGCAGACUAUCGUCUGAAUACAUUAGCAUGGAAUAAUGAAAUAGGACGGACUGAUUCUAUUUCGUUGGUUUCUAGGAUCACCGUAAUGAUUAAUAGGGAUAGUUGGGGGCAUUAGUAUUCAAUUGUCAGAGGUGAAAUUCUUGGAUUUAUUGAAGACUAACUACUGCGAAAGCAUUUGCCAAGGAUGUUUUCAUUAAUCAAGAACGAAAGUUAGGGGAUCGAAGACGAUCAGAUACCGUCGUAGUCUUAACCAUAAACUAUGCCGACUAGGGAUCGGACGAAGUUAAUUUUAUAAUGACGCGUUCGGCGCCUUACGGGAAAC